rnacentral:rRNA from 1 species
CGGUGAAUACGUUCCCGGGCCUUGUACACACCGCCCGUCAAGCCAUGGAAGCUGGGAGUACCCGAAGUCGCCUAAUAAGCGCCGAAGGUAAGACCAGUGACUGGGGCU